rnacentral:lncRNA from 1 species
UGAGACUGGAAUCAAGGGGGUAGAAUGCCUUUUGGAAUUGAUAAACAUGUCAUUGCAUUUGCAUAGUCAUCCGCAUGUCUUGCAUAACAGGUACCGCCAUAGUGUUCUCAGUUGUUUGGUGUUCCAUCAGCAGGAUAGCUGACUCAGGCAUUCACCGAUACGGUACCCGAAGGAAUCAACAGAGAGCAAUGGAAGGUGUACAAGCAGAGCUCGCUGAGAUGAGGAUCCGCAUGACCCAAUU